ACAGUUGAAUUUUUAACUGACCGUCCCGAGCGCAAGUGACAAAAGACUCGAUAGUUGAUACACCCAAAAUUUCAAGUUCAAAUAUUAGUUGAUUCAUAUUUUCGGAUAAAUUUAUGUUUUAAAAGAAUAAAUGAAGCGGAAAAUUUACAUGGCUAUUUAGAAUGAACCAAGCCAAUAACUUUUUACCUACCUAUACUAAGGUGGUUUGGUCAUAAUAUAAAUCGAGUGAUUUAUAAAUGCAUUGUUUUCGGAUUUUUAUUCUUAAUUAAGAGAUAAAGAAGA
rnacentral:lncRNA from 1 species